rnacentral:lncRNA from 10 species
AAAAAGUCAAGUUAAUUGCAAGCAGAAGUUGAAAAUCAAGUUUAAAUUAAUCAAAAAUUUAAUUAAACUAAAUGAUCUUUGACUAGCAGCAGUUUUCUUGGCUGAGGGUUAAAAAAUAAAACCAUAAUAGAGAAUUUUUUUUUAAGAUGGAAUCUAGCUGUGUUGACCAGGCUGGAGUGCAGUGGUGUAAUUACAGCUCACUGCAGCCUCAACCUGCCAAAUUCAUGCCAUCCUCCCACCUCAGCUUCCUGUAUAGUUGGGACCACAGGUGCAUGUCACCAUGCCCAGCUAAUUUGUAUAGAAACUGAGUUUUGCCAUGUUGCCCAGACUGGUCUCAAACUCCUGGGCUCAAACAAUCCCGUCGCCUUGGCCUCCCAAAGUGCUGGGAUUACUGGUGUAGGCAAGGAUGCCUGGCCUAGUAGAGAACAUUUUUUUCUGUACUAUAUAGCUUUCAAUAUAGUGGGAGUAAUAGACAAGUAUAAAAUAAUCAAUUUGAUAUAGGGAAGAUUAGGUUACACAUGAGAAGAAUAUGUAAAUUAGACUGAAGGAAUAAGUAUAUUUUGUAUUAUGUUUAAAACUUUGUGUAAGGAGAUAUGAAUAGUUGAAUAAAUUACUUGUACAGGAAUUAAUAUCAUAUCCUGCAUAAUGAAUUCUCAACAGAUGGAGACGUAUUCCAAAGUGCCUCUGUCUUAAUCUUAAUAAUUAGUGGGAUUCUAGACUUCCACAGGUCAAUUCUACAACUAGCCCAUUAUUUCUGCGGUUUUAUAAUUUUUAAAUAUAAAUACGUAAGACUUUUCUUUGUUGUGUAGAUUAUGAAAGAAAACUUGAGAAAAUUAAUUCUUAAUACAAACAAAAACAACAAAAUGCAUUUCUGUAUUUAUAUUUAACAAUAGUCAUUUCAAAAAAUCUGUUAUGAUUUGUUUUAAAAAUAAAUUCAAUGCAUGAACUAAAAUAGUGCUUAUUAAUAUAGUAUUAAUAUCCAACAACACUGACAUAAAUAUAUUUUUCCUUAGGGAUUAUAUGUUAUUAUUCUGAGAUCUAAUUUCUAAUUUUUUUUAGUGCUUAAGUUUUGAAAUUGUGCUUGUGAUGCUUCUUGCUUUUCCUUGUUCAUUUUGUUUUAUUGAUAUUUGUUAAGAAGCAUAUUGGAUUGGCUACUUUAGCAUAAUUUUUCUUCUUCUUACCUAGAAAACAUCUUAAAAUAACUUAUAUCUCAUCACUCAAAUCAAUUUUAAAGUUAUUUUAUGAAAUUUACAUGCUACAGACCCUUUUUGACCCUGGUCCUACUCAUAUAACAUUUACAAGUCCUUUCUACAAAAAAAUUGCUAGGCCUUUACCCUGAAAAGAAAGUGAUAUUUUUAGCAGCUGAAAAUAACAGGCUUUGCCUUAUGAUUUGAUUUCAUCUUUUGUUUCUUAAAUAAAACUGUACUACCCUAUUUUCAUAAUGUUUUGAUCAACCUAUAUAGAACAAUGAGCACUAAUUGACUAAUCUCGUCUUCAGGACUUCUGUUAUUAUAUGCUCAACAGAGACUAUUUUAUAGAUAAUUUCAGCUCCAACAGUUUUUUUUUUUUUAAACCUCUGCUUUAUACCUCCUGUACCAGUAGAUCUCAGUCCUUCUGAAAUAAUGUCUCCUUGUAAUUAUAACAACUGUGUAGUUUUAUUUAGUGACAUGAAAUCCAUGUGUUCUAAUGAAGGGAUAAUGAAAAAAAGGGCCCUCAUUUAAUAAUACCACAAGGCUAGCACUCUUGCAAUAUUUGUUAUUAUAAUAUAUAUGGUAUUUUUUUUUACAAUAUAUUAAUGAUAUCAGCGUUUCAGGUAUCAGGUAUCUGCAUCUCCCACUGCAUUCUUUGAUCAUCUUGAAACAGAUACCUGUUAUGAAUAAAUUGACUUCAGUUCUCAGAACAUGACAGAUAACUUUGUUAUUACUCAUAGUUUCAGUGUUCCCUACCUACUUUUUUGUCUAGUGCAUAUCUACUCAUGCUUUAAUAUUAUGCUCAAGGGCAGCCCUCUUUAUAUUUUAUUUAAAUCCCAGAUAGAUUUUACUGCCACAUUAUUUUUUAUUUCUCCUGGAUUUUACACAGUGUGGUUCUGAAUGGCCAGUAACUAUUACCCUUUAAUUUCUUUCUGUCAUUCACAAAUAUCUGAGAACAAACACAUGAAAAAGAUACCGAAGAGAGAAGAUAAGUUUUAAUACUAAUUGAGCAGAUUAGAGUCAUAGCUUUGGAUACAGAGAUGGCUAAUAUUUCCAUCCCUUCUCUCAAAGGGUUGCUGACACAGCUGGACAUACACAGUGCCCUUGUGAGGGAGAGUCAGCAAGGUGAAAUUGACACAAAGGGUGAGCCAAUAUAUUCUAUGCCAAACACACACCUUUUUGUUUCCAAACUCAACAAUCAGGUAAGUCAAAAUGGAGAAAGAAAUGCUAAGUCAGAAAGACACCAGUGAAAAAUAAAAAAAGUGAGGAAUGAGGAAUAUAUGUUCACAGUAAAAUUUCAUGCCAUUGAUAAGGUGGAGAGAGAAUUUAGAUAAAGAGAGGGUUAUGAUCAACUUUCUCCAAGAUAUAUAGCUUAAAAAUGCAGCAGUCUUUCAGCCGGUAGAACAGAGUAGAGCUGACCUUGGCCAGCUGACCUGGGCAGAAUGAAGCAACUCCUGCCACAGAAUAGCAUUUCAUCCUUGCAUCCUGCACUGGGACCAUCAUGUGCUUUUGAUGAAAGUCAAGAAUAAACCCUAAUCUCAGCUCAUACAAGACAUUAGAAGUGCCUUUUUCUGCUAUUCCUACUCCCAUUUAAUUGUGUCUUUUGAUGUUUGGCUGGGAGCUUUGGCCUGGAUCCCUGUGGAAUUUGCCUGAUUCGUUCACUAUAUCAUCCAAAGCUGGACACACACACCACACACACAGAUACACAGACACACACAUGUACAUAGAGAGACACACAGAGAGAGAGACUCUAAGCACACACUCUGUUUAUUCCACAGGUCGUUGUGCCUGCCCUGCCUGGGUGUUUUUUCAAAAUCUUGUGGAUAUGAAACUAUAGACGGUGUUGUGACCUCUGCUGCAGUGGCUUGGAAAUUCACUGGCAGCGGGCACAGUUCGGUCUCCCAUUAGUGAAACAAACAAGCAAGCAAACUGUAAAC